GAGGAUGUAUUGGACAUGUUCUCAGAAAACCCAGAAAUAAAGUCACAGGACAGUCCCUCAGCUGGAGGUGGCAGGGGAAGAGAAGCUGGGGUAGAUCUAGGAACAGCUGGAGAACGUUGGUAGCAGCUGAGAUGAAGGAACUGGGAUUCUCUUGCUAACAGCUGGAGAAGACUGACCAGGGUAUAAGUCAAGGAACAUCUGCGUAUUUCGAGAAAAAAAGAACAACCAGUAUGGUGCAGUUUUGGCCUUCCCAGGGAGGUGGUUCAGCAUCUACAAAAUAAUAUCAGAGCCUGCAAUGCCCAUCUUCACACACUUCAUAAUACACCAUUGGCUGGGGAAAAAAAAGCGAGGCUGAAGAAAGG